rnacentral:rRNA from 1 species
AGUGGCGAACGGGUGAGUAAUGCAUCGGAACGUAUCCAAUAAUGGGGGAUAACGCAGCGAAAGCUGUGCUAAUACCGCAUACGCCCUGAGGGGGAAAGUGGGGGAUCGCAAGACCUCACGUUAAUGGAGCGGCCGAUGUCUGAUUAGCUAGUUGGUGAGGUAAAGGCUCACCAAGGCGACGAUCAGUAGCUGGUCUGAGAGGACGACCAGCCACACUGGAACUGAGACACGGUCCAGACUCCUACGGGAGGCAGCAGUGGGGAAUUUUGGACAAUGGGGGCAACCCUGAUCCAGCCAUGCCGCGUGAGUGAAGAAGGCCUUCGGGUUGUAAAGCUCUUUCGCGAGGGAAGAAAAGGCCACGGAUAACACCCGUGGUUCAUGACGGUACCUUGAUAAGAAGCACCGGCUAA